rnacentral:rRNA from 1 species
CAUCGACCCUCUCCGACCCCUUUAACGAUACUGAGAACUUCUAUAAUCUUAUAGAACAUUUUAUGCUAAAACUAGUAACAAGAGACUUUCUCUCUCCUCAAUGCAAACAUAACCCAGCAAGAACCCAUCACCGGCAAUUAACAGGAUAAAAUACUUGUAACAACUCUUUUCCCGAAAACCUUACUACUAACACUGUUAACCUAACACCAGAGCAUUUCAAGAAAGAUUAAAAGAAGGGGAAGGAACUCGGCAAAUAUCAGCCUCGCCUGUUUACCAAAAACAUCGCCUCUCGACUUCAUGAGAGGUCCAGCCUGCCCAGUGACUCUGUUCAACGGCCGCGGUAUACUAACCGUGCGAAGGUAGCGUAAUCACUUGUCUUUUAAAUAAGGACUAGUAUGAAAGGCAUCACGAGGGCUAAACUGUCUCCCCCCUCUAAUCAGUGAACCUAAUCUCCCCGUGAAGAAGCGGGGAUUCCUCUAUAAGACGAGAAGACCCUAUGGAGCUUUAAACACGUAACACUGCCUUAACCUCUAAUUACCCCGGUAUACUCCCCUCCCGGCACACUGAUUACAAGUUUUUGGUUGGGGUGACCGCGGAGAAAAACCCAUCCUCCACAAUGAAAGGGGCCCCCCCUAAACAAUAAGUCACAACUUUAAGUAUCAACAACUUGACAUCUAUUGACCCAACAAUUGAUCAACGAACCAAGUUACCCUAGGGAUAACAGCGCAAUCCACUUUGAGAGCUCCUAUCGACAAGUGGGCUUACGACCUCGAUGUUGGAUCGGGGUAACCUAGUGGUGCAACCGCUACUAA